rnacentral:rRNA from 1 species
UUGGUUAAGUUAGAAAGGGCGCACGGUGGAUGCCUUGGCACUAGGAGCCGAAGAAGGACGGGACUAACACCGAUAUGCUUUGGGGAGCUGUACGUAAGCGUUGAUCCAGAGAUUUCCGAAUGGGGGAACCCACUAUCUUUAGUCGGAUAGUAUCCUUACGUGAAUACAUAGCGUGAGGAAGGCAGACCCAGGGAACUGAAACAUCUAAGUACCUGGAGGAAGAGAAAGAAAAAUCGAUUUCCUGAGUAGCGGCGAGCGAAACGGAAAGAGCCCAAACCAAGAAGCUUGCUUCUUGGGGUUGUAGGACACUCUAUACGGAGUUACAAAAGAAAGUUAUAAAUGAAGCGGUCUGGAAAGGCCCGCCAAAGACGGUAACAGCCCGGUAGUUGAAAUGGCUUUCCCUCCAGAGUGGAUCCUGAGUACGGCGGAACACGUGAAAUUCCGUCGGAAUCCGGGAGGACCAUCUCCCAAGGCUAAAUACUCCCUAGUGACCGAUAGUGAACCAGUACCGUGAGGGAAAGGUGAAAAGCACCCCGGAAGGGGAGUGAAACAGUUCCUGAAACCGUGUGCCUACAAGUAGUUAGAGCCCGUUAAUGGGUGAUAGCGUGCCUUUUGUAGAAUGAACCGGCGAGUUACGAUUUGUUGCAAGGUUAAGCGGAAAAAGCGGAGCCGUAGCGAAAGCGAGUCUGAAUAGGGCGCAUAAGUAACAGGUCGUAGACCCGAAACCAGGUGAUCUACCCAUGUCCAGGAUGAAGGUAAGGUAAUACUUACUGGAGGUCCGAACCCACGCACGUUGAAAAGUGCGGGGAUGAGGUGUGGGUAGCGGAGAAAUUCCAAUCGAACUUGGAGAUAGCUGGUUCUCUCCGAAAUAGCUUUAGGGCUAGCCUCGAGGUAAAGAGUCAUGGAGGUAGAGCACUGUUUGGACUAGGGGCCCUUCUCGGG